rfam:Macleaya cordata isolate BLH2017 scaffold205, whole genome shotgun sequence.
GGUUUGACGGGAUAUUGGUCCGGUUCAAUUAGAAAACCGUGUCCGUUACAUUUCGGGCUCUGUUAUUUGAUUGAGCCGUGCCAAUAUCACGUAAACCCUA